CACGGUGUGGCUCAGCUGAUAGAACGCUUGCCUAGCAAGCAAGAAACCUGGGUUUGGUUCCCAGCACUGCAU
rnacentral:tRNA from 1 species